ACACUGUACGAGUUUGAUCCUGGCUCAGAACGAACGCUGGCGGCAGGCUUAACACAUGCAAGUCGAACGCCCCGCAAGGGGAGUGGCAGACGGGUGAGUAACGCGUGGGAACGUACCUUCAGUUCGGAAUAACUCAGGGAAACUUGUGCUAAUACCGGAUACGCCCGCAAGGGGAAAGAUUUAUCGCUGAAAGAUCGGCCCGCGUUGGAUUAGCUAGUUGGUGGGGUAAAGGCCUACCAAGGCGACGAUCCAUAGCUGGUCUGAGAGGAUGAUCAGCCACACUGGGACUGAGACACGGCCCAGACUCCUACGGGAGGCAGCAGUGGGGAAUAUUGCACAAUGGACGAAAGUCUGAUGCAGCAACGCCGCGUGGAGGAUGACACAUUUCGGUGCGUAAACUCCUUUUAUAUAGGAAGAUAAUGACGGUACUAUAUGAAUAAGCACCGGCUAACUCCGUG
rnacentral:rRNA from 1 species